rnacentral:rRNA from 1 species
UGGGGAAUAUUGGGCAAUGGGGGAAACCCUGACCCAGCAACGCCGCGUGAAGGAAGAAGGCUUUCGGGUUGUAAACUUCUUUUAUGAGGGACGAAGAAGUGACGGUACCUCAUGAAUAAGCCACGGCUAACUACGUGCCAGCAGCCGCGGUAAUACGUAGGUGGCAAGCGUUGUCCGGAUUUACUGGGUGUAAAGGGCGCGUAGGCGGGAUAGCAAGUCAGGUGUGAAAUCCGGGGGCUCAACCCUCGAACUGCACUUGAAACUGUUAUUCUUGAGUGAUGGAGAGGCAGGCGGAAUUCCUAGUGUAGCGGUGAAAUGCGUAGAUAUUAGGAGGAACACCAGUGGCGAAGGCGGCCUGCUGGACAUUAACUGACGCUGAGGCGCGAAAGCGUGGGGAGCAAACAGG